GAUGAAGAACGCAGCGAAAUGCGAUAAGUAAUGCGAAUUGCAGAAUUUCCGUGAAUCAUCGAAUCUUUGAACGCACAUUGCGCCCCCUGGUAUUCCGGGGGGCAUGCCUGUUCGAGCGUCAUUUCACCACUCAAGCCUCGCUUGGUAUUGGGCAACGCGGUCCGCCGCGUGCCUCAAAUCGACCGGCUGGGUCUUCUGUCCCCUAAGCGUUGUGGAAACUAUUCGCUAAAGGGUGUUCGGGAGGCUACGCCGUAAAACAACCCCAUUUCUAAGGUUGACCUCGGAUCAGGUAGGGAUACCCGCUGAACUUAAGCAUAUCAAUAAGCGGAGGA
rnacentral:misc_RNA from 1 species